rnacentral:rRNA from 1 species
GGACUACUGGGGUUUCUAAUCCCGUUCGCUCCCCUAGCUUUCGCCCCUGAGCGUCAGAAGCCACCCAGAACACUGCCUUCGCCUUUGGUAUUCCUCCGGAUAUCUACGCAUUUCACCACUCCACCCGGAAUUCUGUGUUCCUCUGUGGCCCUCAAGUGCGCCAGUCUGUAGGACACUCGACCGGUUAAGCCGGUCGCUGUCACCCCACACUUGGCGCACCGCCUGCGGGCGCUUUACGCCCAAUAAAUCCGGACAACGCUCGCCCCCUACGUAUUACCGCGGCUGCUGGCAC